UAAUACGUAGGUGGCAAGCGUUGUCCGGAUUUACUGGGCGUAAAGAGCGCGCAGGCGGUCAGAUAAGUCGAAUGUGAAAGCCCCCGGCUCAACUGGGGAGGGUCAUUCGAUACUGUUCGACUCGAAGGCAGGAGAGGGAAGCGGAAUUCCCGGUGUAGUGGUGAAAUGCGUAGAUAUCGGGA
rnacentral:rRNA from 1 species